CCUUGACAUACUAAGAACUUUCCAGAGAUGGAUUGGUGCCUUCGGGAACUUAGAUACAGGUGCUGCAUGGCUGUCGUCAGCUCGUGUCGUGAGAUGUUGGGUUAAGUCCCGCAACGAGCGCAACCCUUUUCCUUAUUUGCCAGCGGGUCAUGCCGGGAACUUUAAGGAUACUGCCAGUGACAAACUGGAGGAAGGCGGGGACGACGUCAAGUCAUCAUGGCCCUUACGGCCAGGGCUACACACGUGCUACAAUGGUCGGUACAAAGGGUUGCUACCUCGCGAGAGGAUGCUAAUCUCAAAAAGCCGAUCGUAGUCCGGAUCGCAGUCUGCAACUCGACUGCGUGAAGUCGGAAUCGCUAGUAAUCGCGGAUCAGAAUGCCGCGGUGAAUACGUUCCCGGGCCUUGUACACACCGCCCGUCACACCAUGGGAGUUUGUUGCACCAGAAGUAGGUAGUCUAACCGCAAGGAGGACGCUUGCCACGGUGUGGCCGAUGACUGGGGUGAAGUCGUAACAAGGUAGGCGUAGAUGA
rnacentral:rRNA from 1 species